ACACUCCUACGGGAGGCAGCAGUGGGGAAUAUUGGACAAUGGGCGCAAGCCUGAUCCAGCCAUGCCGCGUGAGUGAUGAAGGACCUAGGGUUGUAAAGCUCUUUCACCGGUGAAGAUAAUGACGGUAACCGGAGAAGAAGCCCCGGCUAACUUCGUGCCAGCAGCCGCGGUAAUACGAAGGGGGCUAGCGUUGUUCGGAUUUACUGGGCGUAAAGCGCACGUAGGCGGACUAUUAAGUCAGGGGUGAAAUCCCGGGGCUCAACCCCGGAACUGCCUUUGAUACUGGUAGUCUUGAGUUCGAGAGAGGUGAGUGGAAUUCCGAGUGUAGAGGUGAAAUUCGUAGAUAUUCGGAGGAACACCAGUGGCGAAGGCGGCUCACUGGCUCGAUACUGACGCUGAGGUGCGAAAGCGUGGGGAGCAAACAGGAUUAGAAACCCCGGUAGUCCCA
rnacentral:rRNA from 1 species